GGCCUACGGGUGGCUGCAGUGGGGAAUAUUGGACAAUGGGGGCAACCCUGAUCCAGCAAUGCCGCGUGAGUGAAGAAGGCCUUCGGGUUGUAAAGCUCUUUUAUCAGGGACGAUAAUGACGGUACCUGAGGAAUAAGCUCCGGCUAACUUCGUGCCAGCAGCCGCGGUAAUACGACGGGAGCUAGCGUUGUUCGGAAUGACUGGGCGUAAAGGGCGCGUAGGCGGUUUUAUAAGUCAGAUGUGAAAGCCUUGGGCUUAACCUGAGAAUAGCAUUUGAGACUGUAAGACUAGAGGACGAGAGAGGAAAGUGGAAUUACGAGUGUAGAGGUGAAAUUCGUAGAUAUUCGUAAGAACACCAGUGGCGAAGGCGGCUUUCUGGCUCGUAUCUGACGCUAAGGCGCGAAAGCGUGGGGAGCAAACAGGAUUAGAUACCCUAGUAGUCCGA
rnacentral:rRNA from 1 species